UACGAAGGGGGCUAGCGUUGUUCGGAAUUACUGGGCGUAAAGCGCGUGUAGGCGGGUCUUUAAGUCAGGGGUGAAAUGCCAAGGCUCAACCUUGGAACUGCCUUUGAUACUGGAGACCUUGAGUCCGGGAGAGGUGAGUGGAAUUGCGAGUGUAGAGGUGAAAUUCGUAGAUAUUCGCAAGAACACCAGUGGCGAAGGCGGCUUACUGGCCCGGUACUGACGCUGAGGUGCGAAAGCGUGGGGAGCAAACAGG
rnacentral:rRNA from 1 species